GUGGACGUGAUGUAAUGGUAGCCUCCCCGCUUGCCAAGCAGGGUGUGCGGGUUCAAUUCCCGUCGUCCGCA
rnacentral:tRNA from 1 species